UAUAAUUUUUGAUUCUUCGUCUUAUUCAAAUUUUUUUGCGACUGAUAUUUUUGUUUUUAUUAAAUGAUAAAUAAUAAAUAGUACUUUACGUGUGACUAAUUUUUUUCUAAUUUCUUGAAAAUUUUUCAAAUAAAACGGAUAUUCAAACGUUCGACACGCAAGCC
rnacentral:pre_miRNA from 1 species